GUUAACGUAGCAAAGCCCGGUUUUGCAAAAGACCUAAACCCUUCUAACAGAGGUUCAAAUCCUCUCGUUAACU
rnacentral:tRNA from 1 species